ACAACUUUCGCGUACACGCUGAAGAGAAGGAGUGCGGUUAGAAGAGACAACAAACGUAUGAUGCAACAUCUAACGGAUGCAGAGACGGACACGGAGAGGCGGAGACGUUGAUUAGCAUUUGAUGGAAAUAUGCAACAACCCAGAAAUAUUGAAGAGUUCUCUAUCUGCUUUGCAAGAAGGUCAGGUCGAGAACAUCGGAGAGUAAGAGGUAGCUCUUGUCCAGGUAGUGACUAGACAUGGAGACCGAACAUCAUUUGGUGACAUCCCUUUUGUGAAUUCAAGUCAUUUCGUUGUCCAAAUGGCUAUCAGUGUUUCCUUAACAAAGCAACAUGGAAGAAAUACUUAAGUACACAACUAACGUCAAAUGGUUGCAAACAGCAUCAACUUUUACGUAAACAUUUUCAGACAGUCUAUCAUUUUGAACCUAAACAACUGACAGCAUGAAUGUUGUUACUAAGUUCCAGCUAUCAGAAGACCAUCUACAGUGCUCGAUGUCUAGUAUUUGGCCUUCUUAAUAAUUUUCAUUAUGAGAAAAUGUUUCUCUCAAAUUAUCAACAUAUCCUGAUUCGAGAAACAGUUUCGCAGGCAGCCAAGUCUACUUUAGCCUGCCUUGGUAUAAAAGUGUUUGGAGAAUGAACUACGCUCUCAGCCAAAUUUUUCAGAUUGAAACACAAGUGGAAACAUGUGAAGUUCUACGAGGGAUUAGUACGUCGCUUUUGUCAUUAUUCACCUGAUCGGUCGGAAUCGAUUACGCCACGCUUAUCUAAUCAGCGCUUUCCACUUCGUCUAGCAAAAAAUAAAUUGUACAGGCAGUAGGCCAGAAAAUCUGAACAUCAUGUGAUAAAAAAAGUAUCUCUUCUCAAAUACGACCAUUCUUGACUACUAUUGUUUACAAUAUGCGUCGAUGGAUGAGAGGUUACGCAAACACCAAUUUUUACUCUACUCAGGCCAUGACAUAACAAUAGUCCGCCUAUAGACAGCUCUCGGUGCGUUUGAUGGACAUCGACCAAGAUAUGCAGCUAGAGUUGUAUUUGAACUGUGGAGAAGUAAUGAAUCUGAGAAUAAGACAUUAGUGAGAACUUUGUAUAAUGGAUGGCUUAUUCAAUCACAUCUUGCUCAGAGAGUGCUGUCAGGUGACUUGAGGAGCAAGAGCUCUUACAUCUUUGGAUGUCUUCGUAAAUCUUGAUACUCUUAGGUAGAUGGUGUUAGCAUAUUUCUUUGAUUUUCCUGUCAGUAAGUUUGCUACUUGGUUAUGAAUGAUAGUUCUUUAGAUUUGGACGAGUGUAUGCUUCUGCACAUAAAAUACAGGUUUUUCUCAAAC